rnacentral:rRNA from 1 species
GAUGAACGCUGGCGGCGUGCCUAAUACAUGCAAGUCGAGCGAACAGACGAGGAGCUUGCUCCUCUGACGUUAGCGGCGGACGGGUGAGUAACACGUGGAUAACCUACCUAUAAGACUGGGAUAACUUCGGGAAACCGGAGCUAAUACCGGAUAAUAUAUUGAACCGCAUGGUUCAGUAGUGAAAGACGGUUUUGCUGUCACUGAUAGAUGGAUCCGCGCCGCAUGAGCUAGUUGGUAAGGUAACGGCUUACCAAGGCAACGAUGCGUAGCCGACCUGAGAGGGUGAGCGGCCACACUGGAACUGAGACACGGUCCAGACGCAUACGGGAGGCAGCAGUAGGGAAUCUUCCGCAAUGGGCGAAAGCUUGACGGAGCAACGCCGCGGGAUUGAUGAAGGUCUUCGGAUCGUAAAACUCUGUUAUUAGGGAAGAACAAAUGUGUAAGUAACUAUGCACGUCUUGACGGUACCUAAUCAGAAAGCCACGGCUAACUACGUG